GGAGUUGUGGCUCAGAGGUAGAGCAUGUGCCUACCAUGCAUGAGGCACUGAGUUCAAUCCUCAGCACCA
rnacentral:tRNA from 1 species